GAAUAUUGGGCAAUGGACGAGAGUCUGACCCAGCCAUGCCGCGUGCAGGAAGAAGGCCUUCUGGGUUGUAAACUGCUUUUAUCAGGGAAGAAAACGCUCCUGCGGGAGUAACUGACGGUACCUGAUGAAUCAGCACCGGCUAACUCCGGUCCAGCAGCCGCGGUAAUACGGAGGGUGCAAGCGUUGUCCGGAUUUAUUGGGUUUAAAGGGUGCGUAGGCGGCCUUUUAAGUCAGUGGUGAAAGCCAACAGCUCAACUGUUGAACUGCCAUUGAUACUGAAAGGCUUGAGUACAGACGAGGUAGGCGGAAUUGAAGAUGUAGCGGUGAAAUGCAUAGAUAUCUUCAAGAACACCGAUUGCGUAGGCAGCUUACUAGGCUGUAACUGACGCUGAGGCACGAAAGCGUGGGGAGCGAACAGG
rnacentral:rRNA from 1 species